rfam:Myotis brandtii contig188974, whole genome shotgun sequence.
GGCAAUUCUUGGGUGACACACCCUUUAAUCGGGCUCCCUCUUCUCUGGUUCCGGGUGUGUCACCUGAGAACCGCA